rnacentral:lncRNA from 1 species
UUUCAGGUCUUGUGGUCUAGCCAUAUCCAUUUUGGGUUGAUUUAUAGUGUUUGUGUUGUGAUUUAGGUCUCUGAAAAAAUGAGCUCUAACAAGUGAUGGUGCAGUGACUGAAGAGGACAAAGACUACGGUCCCUGCAGUAGAGCUGUCAGAAGACAACAUAUGUCCAGGGCAGAGCUGCUCCAAAUGGCAUUGGAGUUGAAAUCUCCAAGGAGAUCUCCUCUCCUGUAAUAUUUUAAAUCCUUAUUUGACUGAUGCUGCAGGUGGAGAGUAUUAGUUACCUUCAGUG